rnacentral:rRNA from 1 species
AUUGAACGCUGGCGGCAUGCCUUACACAUGCAAGUCGAACGGCAGCACGGGUGCUUGCACCUGGUGGCGAGUGGCGAACGGGUGAGUAAUAUAUCGGAACGUACCUUAUUGUGGGGGAUAACGCAGCGAAAGCUGUGCUAAUACCGCAUAAUCCCUAAGGGGGCAAGCGGGGGACCGUAAGGCCUCGCGCAAUUAGAGCGGCCGAUACCUGAUUAGCUAGUUGGUGAGGUAAAGGCUCACCAAGGCAACGAUCAGUAGCUGGUCUGAGAGGACGAUCAGCCACACUGGGACUGAGACACGGCCCAGACUCCUACGGGAGGCAGCAGUGGGGAAUUUUGGACAAUGGGGGCAACCCUGAUCCAGCAAUGCCGCGUGAGUGAAGAAGGCCUUCGGGUUGUAAAGCUCUUUUGUCUGGGAAGAAACAGCAGCUCUAAUACAGUAUGCGAAUGACGGUACCUGAAGAAUAAGCACCGGCUAACUACGUGCCAGCCGCCGCGGUAA